GAUGAAGAACGUAGCGAAAUGCGAUAAGUAAUGUGAAUUGCAGAAUUCAGUGAAUCAUCGAAUCUUUGAACGCACAUUGCGCCCGCCAGUAUUCUGGCGGGCAUGCCUGUUCGAGCGUCAUUACAACCCUCAAGCCCCCGGGCCUGGCGUUGGGGAUCGGCGGAAGCCCCCUGCGGGCACAACGCCGUCCCCCAAAUACAGUGGCGGUCCCGCCGCAGCUUCCAUUGCGUAGUAGCUAACACCUCGCAACUGGAGAGCGGCGCGGCCACGCCGUAAAACACCCAACUUCUGAAUGUUGACCUCGAAUCAGGUAGGAAUACCCGCUGAACUUAAGCAUAUCAAUAAGCGGAGGA
rnacentral:misc_RNA from 1 species